GCCGCUGUAGCGUAACGGUAACGCGGACGCGUUGUAAGCGACCAGAUAUGGGUUCAAAUCCUGUCGGCGGCUCCA
rnacentral:tRNA from 2 species